rnacentral:rRNA from 1 species
CCCAGACUCCUACGGGAGGCAGCAGUGGGGGAUAUUGCACAAUGGGGGAAACCCUGAUGCAGCGACGCCGCGUGGGCGAAGAAGUAUUUCGGUAUGUAAAGCCCUAUCAGCAGGGAAGAAGAAAUGACGGUACCUGAGUAAGAAGCACCGGCUAAAUACGUGCCAGCAGCCGCGGUAAUACGUAUGGUGCAAGCGUUAUCCGGAUUUACUGGGUGUAAAGGGGGCGCAGACGGCAGCGCAAGCCAGGAGUGAAAGCCCGGGGCCCAACCCCGGGACUGCUCUUGGAACUGCGCGGCUGGAGUGCAGGAGGGGCAGGCGGAAUUCCUGGUGUAGCGGUGAAAUGCGUAGAUAUCAGGAGGAACACCGGUGGCGAAGGCGGCCUGCUGGACUGCGACUGACGUUGAGGCCCGAAAGCGUGGGGAGCAAACAGGAUUAGAUACCCUCGUA